GCGAGCGAAGCGGGAAGAGCUCAAAUUUGAAAUCUGGUGGCCUCAGGUCAUCCGAGUUGUAAUCUAUAGAAGUGUUUUCCGUGCUGGCCCAUGUACAAGUCCCUUGGAACAGGGCGUCAUAGAGGGUGAGAAUCCCGUCCUUGACAUGGACUACCAGUGCUCUGUGAUACACUUUCAACGAGUCGAGUUGUUUGGGAAUGCAGCUCAAAAUGGGUGGUAAAUUCCAUCUAAAGCUAAAUAUUGGCGAGAGACCGAUAGCGAACAAGUACCGUGAGGGAAAGAUGAAAAGCACUUUGGAAAGAGAGUUAAACAGUAUGUGAAAUUGUUGAAAGGGAAACGAUUGAAGUCAGUCGUGCUCAAUGGACUCAGCCGUUCUGCGGUGUAUUUCCAUUGGGUGGGGUCAACAUCAGUUUUGAUCGCUGGAUAAAGGCAGGAGGAAUGUAGCACCCCCGGGUGAACUUAUAGCCUCUUGUCACAUACAGUGGUUGGGACUGAGGAACGCAGCAUGCCUUUAUGGCCGGGAUUCGUCCACGUACAUGCUUAGGAUGUUGACAUAAUGGCUUUAAACGACCCGUC
rnacentral:rRNA from 1 species